AUUGAACGCUGGCGGCAUGCCUUACACAUGCAAGUCGAACGGCAGCACGGGUGCUUGCCCCUGGUGGCGAGUGGCGAACGGGUGAGUAAUACAUCGGAACAUGUCCUGUAGUGGGGGAUAGCCCGGCGAAAGCCGGAUUAAUACCGCAUACGAUCUACGGAUGAAAGCGGGGGACCUUCGGGCCUCGCGCUAUAGGGUUGGCCGAUGGCUGAUUAGCUAGUUGGUGGGGUAAAGGCCUACCAAGGCGACGAUCAGUAGCUGGUCUGAGAGGACGACCAGCCACACUGGGACUGAGACACGGCCCAGACUCCUACGGGAGGCAGCAGUGGGGAAUUUUGGACAAUGGGCGAAAGCCUGAUCCAGCAAUGCCGCGUGUGUGAAGAAGGCCUUCGGGUUGUAAAGCACUUUUGUCCGGAAAGAAAUCCUUGGCCCUAAUACGGUCGGGGGAUGACGGUACCGGAAGAAUAAGCACCGGCUAACUACGUGC
rnacentral:rRNA from 1 species